rnacentral:lncRNA from 1 species
CAAUCAAACCAUUGUUUACAAGGGCAUGCUUCGUUCAGAAGUUCUUGGGUUAUUUUAUUCUGACCUUCAGAAUGAUCUUUAUAAGUCUCCAUUUGCCAUUUAUCACCGAAGGUAUAGCACAAAUACUAGUCCUAGAUGGCCUCUUGCUCAACCAAUGAGGUUUCUUGGUCAUAAUGGAGAGAUCAAUACCGUACAGGUUAGUUUCGCUGUAAAUUUCAAGUUUGUCUAAUAAUAUUAUUUCCAUUAUGACAAAUAUGAUUAAUGAGCCAUGUUUGUUCUCUCUGUCCUACUCUGAACCUUAUGCAGGGGAACUUGAAUUGGAUGCAGUCUCGUGAAACCUCAUUGAAGUCCCCUGUUUGGCGUGGUAGGGAAAAUGAAAUUCGCCCUUUUGGUAACCC